AGUGACAGCGACAUAAUCGUCAAGAUCCGCAUAUACACAUAUAUGAUCUAACCAUGAAUGAAGAGGACAAAAGUAAGAUUACUGAGAACUUGACCGUGUUGAGAGAAAGUGUGAUGAUCAGUAUUCAUCCUAUUCUACAUACACUGAUCGAGAAAGGUGUGUUCAAGUUCGAGUUUCUUGCACAAUUUGACCAAAUUUCAGACCGACACAACCAGUUCAGUAAAUUUAUUUCUUUUCUGACAUCAUCAGGGCACAAACUGGCCUACAGUACGUUUAAGACCGCAUUGAAGGCAGAGGGAUUUCAUAAUUUGGUGGAAACCAUGGAAAGAACAGCAGGUAGAGUCUGCAACGGCAGCCGGUGCUCCUGGUGGAGAACUUCUUGGCGCUAUGAAAGAAAUGUUUGCUGAUGCUGAACGGAAAC
rnacentral:misc_RNA from 1 species